CGCACUCGCAGUCAGCUUUAUUCCCGAUGCCCUCCAUAAGGACUAUUGAAGGAGCAGAAACCAAGGAGUAAAGAGCAGAACAGCGUCUCGACAUACAAAAAUGUCAAAAUGACCUUGAACCUGGAAAUAUCCAACAUUACUAAUACAGGAACCAGGAAGAGAUUUCCUGGAACAAGUAAAAACAAAUGUCUUUCAAGUAAUCACACAGCCAACGAGGACAUAGAAUGUGAAAUGGAAUAAAAAGAGAGCAACAGUUUACACUGUAAUGGCUACACAAAAGAAACUGGGAGAUGUGUCACUGGUGAUGUAAAAGCAAACAGAGUGACAUAUAGAAAGCUGCAUCACACCAAAGGUAGAAGGAAUGAAGCUGAAG